GUGUAAGUAUGAACUAAUUCAGACUGUGAAACUGCGAAUGGCUCAUUAAAUCAGUUAUAGUUUGUUUGAUGGUACCUGCUACUCGGAUAACCGUAGUAAUUCUAGAGCUAAUAUUUCCGAGGGCUGAAAGAAUUUGUGGGAAAUUCGUGGGAUCAGACUUGGGAGUUGGGAAUCGAUGUGGUCGUUGCGAUGAUUCAUGAUAACUCGACGGAUCGCACGGCCCUCGUGCCGGCGACGCAUCAUUCAAUUCGACGAGGGCGUCGAACACCGUUGGUGGGGGAG
rnacentral:ncRNA from 1 species